rnacentral:rRNA from 1 species
CAGCAGCCACGGUAAUACGUAGGGUGCAAGCGUUAAUCGGAAUUACUGGGCGUAAAGCGUGCGCAGGCGGUUAUAUAAGACAGAUGUGAAAUCCCCGGGCUCAACCUGGGAACUGCAUUUGUGACUGUAUAGCUAGAGUACGGCAGAGGGGGAUGGAAUUCCGCGUGUAGCAGUGAAAUGCGUAGAUAUGCGGAGGAACACCGAUGGCGAAGGCAAUCCCCUGGGCCUGUACUGACGCUCAUGCACGAAAGCGUGGGGAGCAAACAGGAUUAGAUACCCCAGUAGUCCCUGUCUCUUAUAC